GAUGAACGCUAGCGGGAGGCCUAACACAUGCAAGCCGAGCGGUAUGGAUAGCUUGCUAUCCAGAGAGCGGCGUACGGGUGCGUAACACGUGUGCAACCUACCUUUAUCUGGGGGAUAGCCUUUCGAAAGGAAGAUUAAUACCCCAUAAUAUAAUGAUUGGCAUCAAUUAUUAUUGAAAACUCCGGUGGAUAGAGAUGGGCAAGCGCCAGAUUAGAUAGUUGGUGAGGUAACGGCUCACCAAGUCAAUGAUCUUUAGGGGUCCUGAGAGGGAGAUCCCCCACACCGGUACUGAGACACGGACCAGACUCCUACGGGAGGCAGCAGUGAGGAAUAUUGAACAAUGGGUGAGAGCCUGAUCCAGCCAUCCCGCGUGAAGGAUGACGGUCCUAUGGAUUGUAAACUUCUUUUGUACAGGGAUAAACCUACCCUCGUGAGGGUAGCUGAAGGUACUGUACGAAUAAGCACCGGCUAACUCCGUG
rnacentral:rRNA from 1 species